GCCAAGCCAACAGGUAUUUUUCAGCUGAAAAACACUGGUUAGAUUUAAUGUAAUUCUUUAAUAAAAGCAUUUAUUUUUCUUCUUCCUUUUCUAAAGUAAUUCUUUAAUGAAAGACACUUCUGCCCUUGCUUCAAGACUGAAACCACUGUGAAGACCAGCAGGAUUGUGAGAGGAUGUUGGGAGGCUAUGGUGCACGUGGUGCUGCGGACACCCCUCCUCCUAGAGGCUGCUCACCAGGAAGGACCACAUCCUCCCACUGUGUAUGAGGCUGAGCCCUUUGCCUCCAGUGUUUCCACACCUGCACUGAGCACUUCUGCAGGGGAGCAGGUGGCUCUGAGGACCUGCUUGCCUUCAGCUAUCACUAAUGGAUGGCAAAACUUCAACAUCAGGUGAAAGGCCUUUCUUGGAUUUGCUACUUUGUUGGCUAAUAGCAUGCUUCCCUUCCCAAUUUUGCUCGGGUGCCAGGAUAGAGGACUGAAAUGUCACAUAAUGGGGGUCCAGCAGCAUGUUGCCAGGCAAUGCUAUAAGGUAGCCUCUUGCUAUCACUUGAUCCUGCUGCAGUUUCCACAGCUGAUGGCUUCCAGCAGGAUUUCAGUCACUCCCAUCCAAAACUCACCAAAACUGUCCUGGAGAGAUUCCUAUUGCCGUGUCCAACAGGACUUCUCUUCCUGACUCUUCUCAAAACGGAGAAAGGAAAGUCUUUUUAGAGGUCUCUGAAGAAACUUGGAAGAACUAUCACAAUAUCCAGACAGCAUAAAACUUUGCAGGGAGGCUGUCAAUGA